UUCUUUUAGAGUAAAUUUUUAUAUGUGAUGCCUUCAAGAAAGGGUCAUGUCGGGCUGGAGAGAUGGCUCAGCCGUUAAAGGCUAGGCUCACAACCAAAAAUAUA
ensembl:miRNA Gm22369 predicted gene, 22369